rnacentral:lncRNA from 1 species
CCACAGCUCAUUUAGAAUGUUGUUUGACUGAAGGAUUGAAUUAUAUGGUAACUUGUCACUAAAGGAUAUUUUAAUAAUUUUUUAUCAAAAUUUUAAAUCUUCAGGUAGUCAUGACAUAUUACUAGAUAUCAAUCUUGACUUAUGAACUCAUCAAAAUUAAAAGAGUUUAAUUCAAAAAUUAAUUAGGAAGAGUCCUAAUUGAUUGGGACUCUUUGACUAACCUAAUC